AUGUGUCCCAGCCAUCUGGAUUCGUCGCGGAGGGGGCGUGAGCAGGCUGUGUACAGGCUGCACAAAGCUCUAUAUGGUCUGUGUCAAGCUCCAAGAGCGUGGAACGACAAGCUGGAUGCUAGUCUCACAUCUCUCGGGUUCACGCGCAGCGUCGCAGAGUACGGCAUGUACGCGCGCGGAACUGGCGAGAGCCUGCUCAUCGUUGGGGUGUACGUCGACGAUCUGGUGAUCACCGGCGCAAAGGAACAGGAGGUCCUCGGGUUCAAAGAGGAGAUGAAACAACUCUUCUCCAUGAGCGACUUGGGACUGCUUCGCUACUACCUCGGCUUGGAAGUGAAGCAGGAGCGUGGACGCACCACGAUCACACAGGCAGCGUAUGCCUCCAAGCUGCUCGACAAAACUGGGCUGACAGGGUGCUAUCCGACUCGCACUCCUAUGGAGCCACGGUGCCCGUUGAGAAAGGAAAGCAAGGAAGCUGCGGUGGAUGCAACGCUCUACCGCAGCGUGAUCGGCAGCCUGAGGUACCUCGUACACACUCGCCCGGACAUUUCGUUCGCCGUAGGUUUCCUGAGCAGGUUCAUGGAGGCGCCAGCAGCAGACCACUAUGCAGCAGUGAAGCACCUCCUUCGAUACAUAGCGGGCACGCUGAGCUACGGCUGCAUGUACCGCUACGGCGACGGCGAGUCCCUGACAGGCUUCAGCGACUCCGAUCACGCCGGCGACGUGGACACCAGGAAGAGCACUUCUGGCGUGCUGUUCUUUCUUGGUGAAAGCCCCGUCAGCUGGCAAUCUCAGAAGCAAAAGGUCGUCGCAAUCUCAUCUUGCGAGGCGGAGUACAUCGCGGCGGCGACGGCAGCUUGCCAAGGCAUUUGGCUUGCACGUCUCUUCGGCGAGCUGAUGAAUCAACCAGCGGCGCCCUUCUCUCUGUUCAUUGACAACAAAUCUGCGAUCUCCCUCUGCAAGAACCCAGUUCUCCAUGAUCGCAGUAAGCACAUCGACCUUCGAUAUCAUUUCAUUCGUGAUUAUGUUGAGAAGAGAUGGGUGGCCGUGGAGUUCAUCGGUACGAGGGAUUAG
rnacentral:rRNA from 1 species